GACGAACGCUGGCGGCGUGCUUAACACAUGCAAGUCGAACGAAGAGCGAUGGAAGCUUGCUUCUAUCAAUCUUAGUGGCGGACGGGUGAGUAACGCGUAAUCAACCUGCCCUUCAGAGGGGGACAACAGUUGGAAACGAUGCUAUACCGCAUCGAUUCUGACCUCGGCAUCGAGAUAGAUGAAAGUGGCCUCUACAUGUAAGCUAUCACUGAAGGAGGGGAUUGCGUCUGAUUAGCUAGUUGGAGGGGUAACGGCCCACCAAGGCGAUGAUCAGUAGCCGGUCUGAGAGGAUGAACGGCCACAUUGGGACUGAGACACGGCCCAGACUCCUACGGGAGGCAGCAGUGGGGAAUCUUCCGCAAUGGACGAAAGUCUGACGGAGCAACGCCGCGUGAGUGAUGACGGCCUUCGGGUUGUAAAGCUCUGUUAAUCGGGACGAAAGGCCUUUUUGCGAAUAGUGAGAAGGAUUGACGGUACCGGAAUAGAAAGCC
rnacentral:rRNA from 1 species